CCUAUUCCACACAGUCUGGCCCCACCUGCAGCAGUCCACCCCGUCACUCCCUGACUAUAUAUGUAUAUGGCAGACGUAUAGCCUUAUAUACAAGCAAUAGUUUCAUGCCUCCAUCGCCAACCCCCCACCAAGACCCACUUUAAUGCAGCAAAAAAGGGGGGGUGAGGGGGUGGAUAGAGUUUCUCCUUUUGAUCCUUCUCUCUCUCUCUCUCUCCUUCUCUUCUCCCAGCCCCCUUUCCUCCUCCAGUCCAACUUGAUGGCAUCUUGAUCACCAUAUUAAGAAAGGAAAACGGAGACAAGAUUGGGAGUGCCCGCCAGGACCCCUCAUCCUCGCUGCGUGCGACAUCCAGGCGGUGGUAACGGAAACACUGAGCCAUCACUGCCAGAUUCCCAGGCCGUGGGCUCUGGAUCACGCUGGAAAGGUCAUGUUUCCUAGACCUUUCAUCAUUGUGUCGACUUUCUCC